rnacentral:rRNA from 1 species
UACAGAGGUCCCAAGCGUUGUUCGCAUUCACUGGGCGUAAAGGGUGCGCAGGUGGGUUUGCAAGUUUGAUGUGAAAGCCCCGGGCUUAACCCGGGAAUGGCAUUGAAUACUGCAGAUCUGGAGGAUUGGAGGGGAGACUGGAAUUCCCGGUGUAGCGGUGAAAUGCGCAGAUAUCGGGAGGAACACCAGCGGCGAAGGCGGCACUCUGGGCUGGAACUGACGCUGAGGAGCGAAAGCGUGGGUAGCAAACAGG